rnacentral:rRNA from 1 species
UCAAGUUAUUAAGGGUGCAGGGCGGAUGCCUUGGCACUAGGAGCCGAUGAAGGACGUGAUAAGCUGCGAUAAGCUUCGGGGAGUUGCACGUAAACUUUGAUCCGAAGAUUUCCGAAUGAGGAAACUCACUUAGAGUAAUGUCUAAGUAUCAUUAAGUGAAUACAUAGCUUAAUGAGGGGAACUCAGGGAACUGAAACAUCUAAGUACCUGAAGGAAGAGAAAGAAAUUCGAUUCCGUAAGUAGCGGCGAGCGAACGCGGAUUAGCCCAAACCAAUAAAGUUUUCUUUAUUGGGGUUGCGGACAUAUCAUAACGAAGAGGUAUCGUAAUUGAAGAGGUUUGGAAAGACCCACCACAGAAGGUAAUAGUCCUGUAUGUUAAACGAGAAGACUUCAGAUAUGAUCCAGAGUACCACGGGACACGUGAAACCCUGUGGGAAGCAGGAGGGACCACCCUCCAAGGCUAAAUACUACCUAGUGACCGAUAGCGUAUAGUACCGUGAGGGAAAGGUGAAAAGAACCCCGGGAGGGGAGUGAAAUAGAACCUGAAACCCUGCACUUACAAGCUGUGGAAGCACAUUUCUUGUGUGACCGCGUACUUUUUGUAGAACGGGCCAACGAGUUACGUUAAGUAGCAAGGUUAAGCACUUAAGGUGCGGAGCCGUAGCGAAAGCGAGUUUUAACUGAGCGUUCAGUUACUUGACGUAGACCCGAAACCGGGCGACCUACCCAUGAGCAGGAUGAAGCGAAAGUAAAAUUUCGUGGAGGUCCGAACCCACGAGCGUUGAAAAGCUCGGGGAUGACUUGUGGGUAGCGGUGAAAUUCCAAUCGAGCCCGGAGAUAGCUGGUUCUCCCCGAAAUAGCUUUAGGGCUAGCCUCAAGGUGAGAGAUACGGAGGUAGAGCACUGAAUGUCCUAGGGGGUAUUGCACCUACCGAAGACUAUCAAACUCCGAAUGCCGUCAUCUUAUACUUGGGAGUCAGACUGUGGGUGAUAAGAUUCAUAGUCGAAAGGGCAACAGCCCAGAUCGUCAGCUAAGGUCCCUAAAUGUAAGUUAAGUGGUAAAGGAUGUGGGAUUGCACAGACAACCAGGAUGUUGGCUUAGAAGCAGCCACUCAUUCAAAGAGUGCGUAAUAGCUCACUGGUCGAGUGAUCCUGCGCCGAAGAUUUCCGGGGCUAAAACUUACUACCGAAGCUACGGCAUCAGUAAUGAUGGGUAGGGGAGCUUCCCAUACGGGUUGAAGCAUGACCGUAAGGACAUGUGGACAGUAUGGGAGUGAGAAUGUUGGCAUGAGUAGCGAGAUGUGGGUGAGAAUCCCACAGGCCGUAAACCCAAGGUUUCCAGGGGAAGGUUCGUCCGCCCUGGGUUAGUCGGGACCUAAGCUGAGGCCGAAAGGCGUAGGUGAUGGACAACAGGUUGAUAUUCCUGUACUACCGAUAACCGUUUGAGAGAAGGGAUGACACAGUAGGAUAAGCUAAGCACACUGUUGGUUAUGUGUGCCCAAGCAUUGAGGCAGUCAAAGUAGGCAAAUCCGCUUUGAUAAUGCUGGGAUGUGAUGGGGAGCGAAAUUUAGUAGCGAAGUAGCUGAUUUCACACUGUCAAGAAAAGUCUCUAUCGAGGUUAAAGGUACCCGUACCGCAAACCGACACAGGUGGGUGAGGAGAGUAUCCUAAGGCCAGCGAGAGAACUGUUGUUAAGGAACUCGGCAAAAUGACCCCGUAACUUAGGGAUAAGGGGUGCCACCAUCAGGUGGCCGCAGAGAAUAGGCCCAAGCGACUGUUUACCAAAAACAUAGGUUUCUGCUAAGUCGCAAGACGAUGUAUAGGAGCUGACGCCUGCCCGGUGCUGGAAGGUUAAGGGGAUCUGUUAGAGCAAUCGAAGCAGUGAACUUAAGCCCCAGUAAACGGCGGCCGUAACUAUAACGGUCCUAAGGUAGCGAAAUUCCUUGUCGGGUAAGUUCCGACCCGCACGAAAGGCGUAACGAUUUGGGCACUGUCUCAACAACAGACUCGGUGAAAUUGUAAUUCCGGUGAAGAUGCCGGAUACCUGCGACAGGACGGAAAGACCCCAUGGAGCUUUACUGUAGCUUGACAUUGGGUCUUGGUACUACAUGUACAGGAUAGGUGGGAGGCUUUGAAACCAGGACGCCAGUUUUGGCGGAGCCAUCCUUGGGAUACCACCCUUGUAGUAC